rnacentral:rRNA from 1 species
AUUCCUACGGGAGGCAGCAGUGGGGAAUAUUGGACAAUGGGCGCAAGCCUGAUCCAGCCAUGCCGCGUGUGUGAAGAAGGCCUUCGGGUUGUAAAGCACUUUCAGCGAGGAGGAAGGGAUGUAUGUUAAUAGCAUGCAUUUUUGACGUUACUCGCAGAAGAAGCACCGGCUAACUCUGUGCCAGCAGCCGCGGUAAUACAGAGGGUGCAAGCGUUAAUCGGAAUUACUGGGCGUAAAGCGCACGUAGGCGGUUGUUUAAGUUGGAUGUGAAAGCCCCGGGCUCAACCUGGGAAUUGCAUUCAAAACUGGACAACUAGAGUGUGUGAGAGGGGGGUAGAAUUCCAAGUGUAGCGGUGAAAUGCGUAGAGAUUUGGAGGAAUACCAGUGGCGAAGGCGGCCCCCUGGCACAACACUGACGCUCAGGUGCGAAAGCGUGGGGAGCAAACAGGAUUAGAUACCCUGGUAGUCCACGCCGUAAACGAUGUCUACUAGCUGUUCGUGACCUUGUGUUGUGAGUAGCGCAGCUAACGCAUUAAGUAGACCGCCUGGGGAGUACGGUCGCAAGAUUAAAACUCAAAUGAAUUGACGGGGGCCCGCACAAGCGGUGGAGCAUGUGGUUUAAUUCGACGCAACGCGAAGAACCUUACCUACUCUUGACAUCUACAGAAGACUGCAGAGAUGCGGUUGUGCCUUCGGGAACUGUAAGACAGGUGCUGCAUGGCUGUCGUCAGCUCGUGUUGUGAAAUGUUGGGUUAAGUCCCGCAACGAGCGCAACCCUUAUCCUUAGUUGCCAGCGAUUCGGUCGGGAACUCUAGGGAGACUGCCGGUGAUAAACCGGAGGAAGGUGGGGACGACGUCAAGUCAUCAUGGCCCUUACGAGUAGGGCUACACACGUGCUACAAUGGUAUGUACAGAGGGAGGCGAUGCCGCGAGGCGGAGCGGAUCUCUUAAAGCAUAUCGUAGUCCGGAUCGCAGUCUGCAACUCGACUGCGUGAAGUCGGAAUCGCUAGUAAUCGCAAAUCAGAAUGUUGCGGUGAAUACGUUCCCGGGCCUUGUACACACCGCC